rnacentral:rRNA from 1 species
AACGAACGCUGGCGGCAGGCUUAACACAUGCAAGUCGAGCGCCCCGCAAGGGGAGCGGCAGACGGGUGAGUAACGCGUGGGAAUCUACCCAGCCCUACGGAAUAACGCAUGGACACGUGUGCUAAUACCGUAUACGUCCUUCGGGAGAAAGAUUUAUCGGAGAUGGAUGAGCCCGCGUUGGAUUAGCUAGUUGGUGGGGUAAAGGCCUACCAAGGCGACGAUCCAUAGCUGGUCUGAGAGGAUGAUCAGCCACACUGGGACUGAGACACGGCCCAGACUCCUACGGGAGGCAGCAGUGGGGAAUAUUGGACAAUGGGCGCAAGCCUGAUCCGGCCAUGCCGCGUGAGUGAUGAAGGCCCUAGGGUUGUAAAGCUCUUUCACCGGUGAAGAUAAUGACGGUAACCGGAGAAGAAGCCCCGGCUAACUUCGUGCCAGCCGCCGCCGUAAUAC